GCCGCUUGGCCCGUCCUGGUUUACCCGACUCAACCUGAUAGGCCGAAACUGCGGGCGAACCAGGAAAGGGAGGCGUGGUUCGGCGGGAAUCCAUUCCAGGUUGACUCCACCAGCGAGAAUCACAGGUAGAACGGUCAGAGUAGCGGGAGGACUGGGAAGGUGGGAAGUGGGAGGACCGUCCAACAUGGCGCUGUGGAAAGCCAGCGCAGGGCCCCAGGGGAUCUUCCGGGGCGGAUGCAGCUGCCUAGGAGUGCUGGGGCUCGCGCGCCUCGGCGGCUCAAACUCUGACCCCUUGAGAUCCUUUCCAGCCCGACCCCUUACUUUAGGGGUCAGCCUGCCCCCGCGCCGCUGCCGCCUCGCCUCGGGCGUGGACCCUGCGGCUCGGGCCUGCGCGUGUGCACCCCGAGGUUGUCUCACUUCCUGUUCAGGGCGACCAGCGCUGCGCCCUCCCCACUCCACAGAUGAGGAAGCUGAGGUUAAAGUCACUUGCCCCAGGUCACUCCGCAAGUUGAAGCGCAACCAGGAUACUCUGGAACAGGAUGCCUGACUUCAGAGGAGAGGCGCGUAACCACCAGGCAACUGGCCCCACGAAAACAAGUCCCGCAACUUCCCUUCUUUGGCUCCUACUUGCUCCCGGAAGAAAAGCCUUAAACGACAGCAGAUCAGGAGCACCCCGCGCGCCCCCCCCCGCCCCGCCCCGCGUCGGCGCCGGCCCCCUGCAAUGGUUGGCGGUAUGGGGAGGUGAACCAAGAAGGCCAGGAGUUCAAGUGCGUGAUCCCCCACUGGGGCAUAUAGGUUACAGCCGCCAGGGCAACUGAAACUCCUCAGGCUCCAGAGGGCUGAAGUGAGUCGCCUC
rnacentral:lncRNA from 1 species